ensembl:lncRNA
GGGGUCAAAGGCUGGAACCCAGACAGCUGGGCCUUCAGUCUCAACCUCCACACUGCUGACGAUUUAAACCAGUUCAGUUCAGUUCAGUCACUCAGUCGUGUCCAACUCUUUGAGACCCCAUGGACUGCAGCACGCCAGGCCUCCCUGUCCAUCACCAACUCCCAGAGCCUGCUCAAACUCAUGUCCAUUGAGCUGGUGAUGCCAUCCAACCAUCUCAUCUGUCGUCCCCUUCUCCUGCCUUCAGUCUUUCCCAGCAUCAUGGUCUUUUCUGGGUCGUGUCCCCAGCCUCCUGUCCAUUGGUGGGCAGGUGAGAAAGAGAAUGAGAAAGGUGUUAACCGGCCCAGCCUGGAAAUGCCAUACAUCCCCUGCCCACAAACCAUUAUCUGGAGUUCCGUCUUACAGCUGCAUCUGACGUAAGAUUCCUAUACGGAGCAAGCACAUGGAUCUGCUGGCUUUGAUCCUGUACAUAUUGUUCAUUUGCUGUUUCCAGUGUCGGAGGCCUGUAAACACUUCUUACCCUCACCUGUCCCUUCAUCUAGAGGCUUGGUCCUCUUCUCAGCAUUGGCACUUCUGCCUGGGCCCUACUUGGAUGUAACUAGCGGGUACCACCACGUGUCUCCCCCUCAGCUCUGCUCCUAGAAUGGGCCUCUGACAACACUUGUUCAUCUAAACACAUCUCCGUUUCCCAUGCUUCCUGGACGUGGCCUUGGACAGCCUAGGGUUCCUCAUUAAUAAAGACUCUGAGGGACUCCCCUGGUGGUCCAGCGGUUAAGAAUCUGACUGCUAAUGCAGCAGACAUGGGUUCGAUCCCUGGUCUGGGAAGAUCCCACAUACCACGGAGCAACUGAGCCUGUGCCCCACAACCAUCGAGACUGUCCUCUGUCCUCCACAAUAAGAGAAGCCAUCGCAAUGAGAAGCCCACACACCACAACUAGGGAAAGCCUGCGUGCAGCAACCAAGACCCAGGGCAGCCAAAGAGUAAACAAAUAAGUAAAUACUUAGAGAAAAAAAAGCCUGGGGCCUCUGCAGCCCCUCUUACCUUGCCUCAUGCCCAAUCCUGCUCUCGCUACCACGCGGCUAUUCCUCCAGUGGGACAGAAGCACGACUCAGACUUAUUGGAUUGUUUGGCUAUAUUCAGCGUUUAUUUCCUAGGGACCAAAAAGAAAACCUUCCUGUGUGUGUAUCUAAGGUUUAUCCUACUGAGAGGGAGGCUUACUAUUCAGCUUAAGGGUUUACAGGCAGAAAAUAAGGAAUUUCCAAGUUGGGGACACGUCAUCAUAAUAUCUGCCUGAUGAAGGUAAACAUCCAACAAAGGUCCGUCUAGUCAAGGCUAUGGUUUUUCCAGUCAUCAUGUAUGGAUGUGAGAGUUGGACUAUAAAGAAAGCUGAGCACCAAAGAAUCGAUGCUUUUGAACUGUGGUGUUGGAGAAGACUCUUGAGAGUCCCUUGGACUGCAGGGAGAUCCAACCAGUCCAUCCUAAAGGAGAUCAGUCCUGAAGAUUUAUUGGAAGGACUGAUGCCGAAGCUGAAACUCCAACACUUUGGCCACCUGAUGCGAAAAGCUGACUUAUUUAAAAAGACCCUGAUUCUGGGAAAGAUUGAGGGUGAGAAGAGAAGGGGAUGACAGAGGAUAAGAUGGUUGGAUGGCAUCACUGACUCAAUGGACAUGAGUUUGAGUAAACUCUGGGAGUUGAUGAUGGACAGGGAGGCCUGGCGUGCUGCAGUUCAUGGGGUCGCAAAGAGUUGGACAUGACUGAGCGACUGAACUGAACUGAGUCACAUGCUUUGCAGUAGCUGGGCUAUUACUUUGCUAAUGGUUUCUAUUUUUGCAUAUGUCCCUAAG